rnacentral:rRNA from 1 species
AAUACGAAGGGACCUAGCGUAGUUCGGAAUUACUGGGCUUAAAGAGUUCGUAGGUGGUUGAAAAAGUUGGUGGUGAAAUCCCAGAGCUUAACUCUGGAACUGCCAUCAAAACUUUUCAGCUAGAGUAUGAUAGAGGAAAGCAGAAUUUCUAGUGUAGAGGUGAAAUUCGUAGAUAUUAGAAAGAAUACCAAUUGCGAAGGCAGCUUUCUGGAUCAUUACUGACACUGAGGAACGAAAGCAUGGGUAGCGAAGAGGAUUAGAUACCCUCGUAGUCCAUGCCGUAAACGAUGUGUGUUAGACGUUGGAAAUUUAUUUUCAGUGUCGCAGCGAAAGCGAUAAACACACCGCCUGGGGAGUACGACCGCAAGGUUAAAACUCAAAUGAAUUGACGGGGACCCGCACAAGUAGUGGAGCAUGUGGUUUAAUUCGAAGAUACGCGCAGAACCUUACCAACACUUGACAUGUUCGUCGCGACUUUAAGAGAUUAAAGUUUUCGGUUCGGCCGGACGAAACACAGGUGCUGCAUGGCUGUCGUCAGCUCGUGUCGUGAGAUGUUGGGUUAAGUCCCGCAACGAGCGCAACCCUCACUUUUAGUUGCCAUCAUUUAGUUGGGCACUCUGAAAGAACUGCCAGUGAUAAGCUGGAGGAAGGUGGGGAUGACGUCAAGUCCUCAUGGCCCUUACGUGUUGGGCUACACACGUGCUACAAUGGUAUCUACAACAGGAAGCAAGACGGCGACGUUAAGCAAAUCCUUAAAAGAUACCUCAGUUCGGAUUGCACUCUGCAACUCGAGUGCAUGAAGCUGGAAUUACUAGUAAUCGUGGAUCAGCGUGCCACGGUGAAUGCGUUCCCGGGUCUUGUACACACCGCCCGUCACACCAUGGGAGUUGGUUCUACCUUAAGGCAAGGUUUAAAACCCUUGACCACGGUAUAGUCAGCGACUGG